rnacentral:tmRNA from 2 species
GGGGGCGAUCUGGAUUCGACCGGAUGAAUAGAAGCGCGUGCUCGCGUGUCGUGGUUGAUCAGUUGGCCACGUAAAAAGCUGAUCACAAUUUUUAGUUGCAGACGAAAGUUUCGCACUGGCCGCCUAAGAACAGGUAGCCCGGAUCUUUAGAUGACCGCCAGAGUCGUCUUCUGUAUCCGUCACAAUUCUGGAUCGCUCGCCGUCCUACUCGAGACGCGGAGAGUUAAACAAGAUUCGAGUUAGCGAACCGGGGAGCCUGUCAGGCAGCGCCUUGGUAAGCGAAUAGUCUUCCUCGAGGAGACAUAAAUAGUUUGACUACACACGUAGACGGUGCCGUGGAUGCAUCGCGGGACGCGGGUUCAAUUCCCGCCGCCUCCAC